rnacentral:rRNA from 1 species
AUUGAACGCUGGCGGCAGGCCUAACACAUGCAAGUCGAACGGUAACAGGAAGAAGCUUGCUUCUUUGCUGACGAGUGGCGGACGGGUGAGUAAUGUCUGGGAAACUGCCUGAUGGAGGGGGAUAACUACUGGAAACGGUAGCUAAUACCGCAUAACGUCGCAAGACCAAAGAGGGGGACCUUCGGGCCUCUUGCCAUCGGAUGUGCCCAGAUGGGAUUAGCUAGUAGGUGGGGUAACGGCUCACCUAGGCGACGAUCCCUAGCUGGUCUGAGAGGAUGACCAGCCACACUGGAACUGAGACACGGUCCAGACUCCUACGGGAGGCAGCAGUGGGGAAUAUUGCACAAUGGGCGCAAGCCUGAUGCAGCCAUGCCGCGUGUAUGAAGAAGGCCUUCGGGUUGUAAAGUACUUUCAGCGGGGGGGAAGGGAGUAAAGUUAAUACCUUUACUCAUUGACGUUACCCGCAGAAGAAGCACCGGCUAACUCCGUG